rnacentral:rRNA from 1 species
ACGUUCCUGAGUCUUGUACUCACCGCCCGUCACGUCAAGCGAGCUGGGAGUACCCGAAGCGUCCCGCUUUUAGCGGGAAACUAAGGUAAGCUCAGUAAGAGGGACGAAGUCGUAACAAGGCACGCGUAGCGGAAGCUGUGCGUGGAUCAUCACAUUUUAAGAAAG